rnacentral:rRNA from 1 species
UACAGAGGGUGCGAGCGUUAAUCGGAAUUACUGGGCGUAAAGCGUGCGUAGACGGCUAUCUAAGUCGGGUGUGAAAGCCCCGGGCUCAACCUGGGAAUUGCAUUCGAGACUGAAUAGCUAGGGUACGGUAGAGGGAAGUGGAAUUUCCGGUGUAGCGGUGAAAUUCGUAGAUAUUCGGAGGAACACCAGUGGCGAAGGCGGCUCACUGGUCCAUUACUGACGCUGAGGUGCGAAAGCGUGGGGAGCAAACAGG